UUGAACGCUGGCGGCAGGCCUAAACAUGCGAGUCGUACCGUGGUACCCGUAGCUUGCUCUCGGGUGACGAGUGGCGGACGGGUGAGUAAUGUCUGGGAAACUGCCUGAUGGAGGGGGAUAACUACUGGAAACGGUAGCUAAUACCGCAUAACGUCGCAAGACCAAAGAGGGGGACCUUCGGGCCUCUUGCCAUCAGAUGUGCCCAGAUGGGAUUAGCUAGUAGGUGGGGUAAUGGCUCACCUAAGCGACGAUCCCUAGCUGGUCUGAGAGGAUGACCAGCCACACUGGAACUGAGACACGGUCCAGACUCCUACGGGAGGCAGCAGUGGGGAAUAUUGCACAAUGGGCGCAAGCCUGAUGCAGCCAUGCCGCGUGUAUGAAGAAGGCCUUCGGGUUGUAAAGUACUUUCAGCGGGGAGGAAGGUGUUGUGGUUAAUAACCGCAGCAAUUGACGUUACCCGCAGAAGAAGCACCGGCUAACUCCGUGCCAGCAGCCGCGGUAAUACGGAGGGUGCAAGCGUUAAUCGGAAUUACUGGGCGUAAAGCGCACGCAGGCGGUCUGUCAAGUCGGAUGUGAAAUCCCCGGGCUCAACCUGGGAACUGCAUUCGAAACUGGCAGGCUAGAGUCUUGUAGAGGGGGGUAGAAUUC
rnacentral:rRNA from 1 species